rnacentral:rRNA from 2 species
AACUUAAGGAAUUAUAACAAAGAAGUAACACAUAAUAAGUUUACCUUAUUUAGUGUGUAUCAAUCGAGUUUCUGACCUAUCAGCUUUUGAUGUUAGGGUAUUGGCCUAACAUGGCUAUGACGGGUAACGGGGAAUUAGAGUUCGAUUCCGGAGAGGGAGCCUGAGAAAUAGCUACCACAUCUAAGGAAGGCAGCAGGCGCGUAAAUUACCCAAUUCUAAAGAAGAGAGGUAGUGACAAGAAAUAACAAUACAAGGCCAUUUCAUGGUUUUGUAAUUGGAAUGAUGGGAAUUUAAAACCUUCCCAAAAUUCAAUUGGAGGGCAAGUCUGGUGCCAGCAGCCGCGGUAAUUCCAGCUCCAAUAGCGUAUAUUAAAAUUGUUGCAGUUAAAACGCUCGUAGUUGAAUUUCAAAGAAUCAAUAUUUUAAGUAAUGCUUUUGGUUUAAGAUGCUUAGACAAUACAACGUAUCUGCUCUUUGCAUUCCUUAUCCAAAAUGUGUUCUUAUUAUAAAAAGGAUUCUUUUUAAAAUCUCCUUUACUUUCUUGUACUGGAGAUUUUGUUACUUUGAGUAAAUUAGAGUGUUCAAAG